UUUCUUUUGGACACGGUUAUUAAGGAGAGUUAAAUUAGUGUAGUAAAAGUGUGUAAAGGUGUGAGACCACAUUGAUUUGUAGUGUAAAAUUAUUAUCUCAAAUAGACACAUUCAUUUGGAAUAUUAAAGAAUAUUUUUUAUCCAUAUAAUAACUUAAAAUUACAAUCUAUAAAAUAAAUAAAAAAUUAAUUAAUAUCAAAAUUAAAAAUAAAGAACAUAAAAUAAAAUAAAAAAGAAAGAUGAAAAAAUGAAGAUAAAAUAGAGAUAAAACAC
rnacentral:lncRNA from 1 species